UUUCCAGAGAUGGACUGGUGCCUUCGGGAACUGUGAGACAGGUGCUGCAUGGCUGUCGUCAGCUCGUGUUGUGAAAUGUUGGGUUAAGUCCCGCAACGAGCGCAACCCUUAUCCUUUGUUGCCAGCGGUCCGGCCGGGAACUCAAAGGAGACUGCCAGUGAUAAACUGGAGGAAGGUGGGGAUGACGUCAAGUCAUCAUGGCCCUUACGACCAGGGCUACACACGUGCUACAAUGGCGCAUACAAAGAGAAGCGACCUCGCGAGAGCAAGCGGACCUCAUAAAGUGCGUCGUAGUCCGGAUUGGAGUCUGCAACUCGACUCCAUGAAGUCGGAAUCGCUAGUAAUCGUGGAUCAGAAUGCCACGGUGAAUACGUUCCCGGGCCUUGUACACACCGCCCGUCACACCAUGGGAGUGGGUUGCAAAAGAAGUAGGUAGCUUAACCUUCGGGAGGGCGCUUACCACUUUGUGAUUCAUGACUGGGGUGAAGUCGUAACAAGGUAACCGUAGGGGAACCUGCGGUUGGAUCACCUCCUUACCUUAAAGAAGC
rnacentral:rRNA from 1 species